rnacentral:misc_RNA from 1 species
AAUGAUAAAUGUGAUUAGUGUAAUGAAAUUUGAUUUUUUUUUUAUUUGUAUUAAUGUGGAAUCACAGAAGAUGGCUGGCCAUUACCACCUGCUCUGGAUCCCAUUAUUAAAAUAAUUAAAUUAAAAACCAAGCAUAAUAUGCCACAUAUUAAAGAAUCAGUUAGCACUUUCUGCGUAGAGAGAACUAAUUAAAAUAUUGAUGUAUCAUAGGGUAGUUUCGAAUAACUUGUAACGUUAGGAUGUCUGACACCUCAGCAGCAUUUACGCGUUAUUAGAAACGACAAAUAAAUAAAUGACAUUAUUCAUUGACAAUAUUUAAAAGUGUGUUGAUAUAUGCCUACUCUCCUUCUGGGAAUCAUAUUUGGUUGCCCACGGCCAGCUUCCAAAGCUCGUAGAACAUGGUUUUGUCGAUCUUGCCACACUUCUCACGUGGCAAGUAUCCACUCGACAAAACAGUCGUCGAAUAGCUCGUAAUUGAGUAUGUGUCUGAGGAUAUCGAGACAUUUCGGUAUGAGACUUGUCUUAAGUCUCUUCGGGAUAUUUGACGACAGUAUCAUGUCUGCUACUUUCGCCAACACCAGUGCGUGUUGGUCGAGCGGCACCAUAGCAAUUAGGUUCUUCGGCAACUGUCCUUCACUUUUCGAUAUGAGGGCGUCCAUUAUUAUUUAAUGAUAACGUCGGGUGUGAGGAUAUUUAGACACCUCAAAGACUUGUAUUUAUGCUCUUCGGGAUAUUUGAUGAUAUCACCAUAAUUGUGACUUUUGGACAAUACCAGUGCGUUUUAGUCGACCGACACCUCCAUGGUCAUCAUCAGGAUCAGCCUCUUCGUUAACUUUUCUUUGCACUUUGAUGAUGGUUCGAGGGCGUUCAUUAUAUAGUACCUAAGUUAUAGUACCGGGUCGGUCGGUCUUCUCUUCGAACGUGAAAGUGCUUGGACCACGUAGAAGAAGGCUUGGAGACUAACCCACCACGUCGAUCCACUGCGGAGUGGCGGUUCGGAUCUAUAUUAUGAGUAACAUGAAAAAGACUCGUCUCAAGUUUUGGCGGCAGUUGUUGCAGGACAGGGGCAUGUAUUUUUCAUCUCGAAGUUCUUCUCGUGUACAUUAUUACGUACGAUUGUGGAGUCCGUUGUACUCGUUGAUGCCGUGCGGUGCCAGCCAAGUAGAAUAGCACCACUUAUGGCUCAUAAUCAUCAGGGUCCUGGAAAAAGGAAAACUUCAUUUGAAACCCGGAAUGGGGUAUUUGUCAAGCAUACGUGGCAUAGCUCUAAAAUGCGAAAGACUC